rnacentral:rRNA from 1 species
AUUGAACGCUGGCGGCAGGCCUAACACAUGCAAGUCGAGCGGAUGAAGGGAGCUUGCUCCUGGAUUCAGCGGCGGACGGGUGAGUAAUGCCUAGGAAUCUGCCUGGUAGUGGGGGAUAACGUCCGGAAACGGGCGCUAAUACCGCAUACGUCCUGAGGGAGAAAGUGGGGGAUCUUCGGACCUCACGCUAUCAGAUGAGCCUAGGUCGGAUUAGCUAGUUGGUGGGGUAAAGGCCUACCAAGGCGACGAUCCGUAACUGGUCUGAGAGGAUGAUCAGUCACACUGGAACUGAGACACGGUCCAGACUCCUACGGGAGGCAGCAGUGGGGAAUAUUGGACAAUGGGCGAAAGCCUGAUCCAGCCAUGCCGCGUGUGUGAAGAAGAUCUUCGGAUUGUAAAGCACUUUAAGUUGGGAGGAAGGGCAGUAAGUUAAUACCUUGCUGUUUUGACAUUACCAACAGAAUAAGCACCGGCUAACUUCGUG